AGUGAACGCUGGCGGUAGGCCUAACACAUGCAAGUCGAGCGGCAGCACAGUAAGAGCUUGCUCUUACGGGUGGCGAGUGGCGGACGGGUGAGGAAUACAUCGGAAUCUACUUUUUCGUGGGGGAUAACGUAGGGAAACUUACGCUAAUACCGCAUACGACCUACGGGUGAAAGCAGGGGAUCUUCGGACCUUGCGCGAUUGAAUGAGCCGAUGUCGGAUUAGCUAGUUGGCGGGGUAAAGGCCCACCAAGGCGACGAUCCGUAGCUGGUCUGAGAGGAUGAUCAGCCACACUGGAACUGAGACACGGUCCAGACUCCUACGGGAGGCAGCAGUGGGGAAUAUUGGACAAUGGGCGCAAGCCUGAUCCAGCCAUACCGCGUGGGUGAAGAAGGCCUUCGGGUUGUAAAGCCCUUUUGUUGGGAAAGAAAAGCAGCAGGUUAAUACCCCGCUGUUCUGGCGGUACCCAAAGAAUAAGCACCGGCUAACUUCGUG
rnacentral:rRNA from 1 species